UACGUAGGGUGCGAGCGUUAAUCGGAAUUACUGGGCGUAAAGAGCGUGUAGGCGGCUUGUUAAGUCUUGCGUGAAAUCUCGGGGCUCAACCCCGAGCGGUCGUGAGAAACUGGCAGGCUAGAGUGCGGGAGAGGAGAGUGGAAUUCCUGGUGUAGCGGUGAAAUGCGCAGAUAUCAGGAAGAACACCCGUGGCGAAGGCGGCUCUCUGGAACGCAACUGACGCUGAGACGCGAAAGCGUGGGGAGCAAACAGG
rnacentral:rRNA from 1 species